rnacentral:rRNA from 1 species
AUUGAACGCUGGCGGCAGGCUUAACACAUGCAAGUCGAGCGGAGAUGAGGUGCUUGCACCUUAUCUUAGCGGCGGACGGGUGAGUAAUGCUUAGGAAUCUGCCUAUUAGUGGGGGACGACAUUCCGAAAGGAAUGCUAAUACCGCAUACGUCCUACGGGAGAAAGCAGGGGAUAUUCGGACCUUGCGCUACUAGAUGAGCCUAAGUCGGAUUAGCGAGUUGGUGGGGUAAAGGCCUACCAAGGAGACUAUCUGUAGCGGGUCUGGGAGGAGGGUCCGCCACACUGGGACUGAGACACGGUCCAGACUCCUACGGGAGGCAGCAGUGGGGAAUAUUGGACAAUGGGGGGAACCCUGAUCCAGCCAUGCCGCGUGUGUGAAGAAGGCCCUAUGGUUGUAAAGCACUUUAAGCGAGGAGGAGGCUACUGAGACUAAUACUCUUGGAUAGUGGACGUUACUCGCAGAAUAAGCACCGGCUAACUCUGUGCCAGCCGCCGCCGUAAGAC